CGUGCCCUAACUUUCCCCCAAAUUUUCCCCAAUUUCUUCCUCCCCUCCGCGUGAAGUCCCGUCGGCUUUCUCCCAUUUCUGACCGUCUGAAGUCCCGUCGCCACCACCAAUCCCCUCCUGCCCGUCCGUCGAAACCUUCUCCACCAACCCGUCGCCACCACCAACCCGUCGCCACCACCCCCGUCUUCUCCAAACCUCUUCAAUCAACCCGAAGCAACAAAAUCGUGGGCGUCGGUCGUCACCCCUCCCCUCUGCCGUUUAUCCCAAUUUCAUUGGAUUGUUUCGCCGGAAAUCAAGGCCAAAGGAGAUGUCAUGGCUAUGGGCUGAAGCUUUGAGAAAAAAAGAAUGAAAAAUGAAAUGACAUCUACUGAUUAAAAUCAUGAGACCUCAUGCAUACGUGUAUACGCAUAGUUAUUAUAUUUAAAAGUUAUGAUUUUGUAAGAAGGAUAACAAGGUGGAGUCGAGGUCCAGCAAGGGUGCAACACUGAAUGAGCUGGUUGAGCUCAAAGGUUGUUCUUCCAGCCUAUUUUUCGAGUGCAGAAAACAUAAAGAUCUUUAUCUAUGUAUGGCAAAGUGCCCUAGUGGGCCAUCUGUGAAGUUUUUAGUUAAUGCCAUGCAUACAAUGGAAGAAUUGAAGCUUACAGGGAACCAUCUGAAAGGUUCCCGUCCAAUUUUGACAUUUUCAUCAAAUUUUGAUAAAGAUGUCCACUAGAAACUUCUGAAGGAAAUGAUUAUUCAGGAGCAUCGACAUUCUAAACCGUACCAUGAUCAUGUAUUUGUUUUCUCUAUUGUUGAUGACCAUAUCUGGUUCCGGAAUUACCAGGUAUGCUUUAUUUAUUUCCUACUUGCUACAGAAUUUAAUACUAACCAUGAUCAUGCUUUAUUUAUAACCAUCACUCCGUUAGCAACACCACCUGAGGAACAAUGCGUGUUUUUAGUGAAGUACGUUAAGGUAUAUAUGGAUAAAUGUCAGAAGUGUCGUUCUUAAGAUAUGAGGCAUACAAUCGUCAUUAGGAAAGGAAUUUGGCAUGGCAAAAAAUUAAUUGAUUUGAAGAGUUUGAGAUUAAGCAGAUUUUGGGGAAUAGUUUUUAGGAGUCCUAGUUGGGGAUCUUGCUAUUUUUCUUUCUUAUGUCAAUGAUUUCAUUGUUUUUCUAGUUCACUGUAUACAUUUCCAUAUAAUUGAUUGUUAUCCUUUAAACUUACAUGUUCAAUUUUCCAUCAACUGUUGGUAUGAGAACCCACUUUAUGUAUCGCCAAACCAGGUUAGAUUGAUUGUCCAACUUUUUGAUCAUUUGGAAUUACACUUCUUCACACUAUUAUUUAAUGAACGUUUGCCUAAUGUAGUCCUCACGUGCUUCUUUUCAUUUCAUGGAAUCAAGUGUUGAAGUUCUUGUUUGUGUUCUGUAUUUUGUUGAGACAUUGAUUUAGUUACUCAUUGACUGUACGUAUGUGUUAUGGAUACUUAUAUUCAUGUUGUCUUUGUAGGUUCAACUGGAGUCGACAACUUCAUGAGUUUUCUUUCAAAGAACAUUUCCAGAGACGAACAUUCUCGGUUGGUCGUUUAUGCUUCUGCAGAAAAUCUUGUUAGAUGUAUUCUAAUGCUAUUUAAAAUAUUUUUUGAUUAAGGGCUAGUAUUUCGUACAUGUGGAUUAUUGAAACUUGUAUUAAGAUGUACAAAUAUUAUAAAUUGUAUUAUAGUGUAUAUAUAUUAAAGUGUUGGCUA